CAGGCGACAGGCAGAGAGAGAGGGGACAGAGGAUUCAAAGUAGGCUCCACGCUGACAACAGUGAACCCCAUGUGGAGGUUGAUCCAAACCAUGAGCUCAUGACCUGAGCAGAAGUUGGAUGCUCACCCCACUGACUCACCCAGGUACCUCAGAAUUCAAGAUUUCCCAGAAAAGCCAGCCUAACCCUGAGGAACACAUCAUCAUGGUUGUCUUUUCCUUGGGAUUCUUUGCACCAGAGACCAUCCCCAUUGGUUCAGAAAAUGGGGUCUGCCUGGUGGGCGGAAAGGAAGAGACAUGCCUUUUGGUCCAUAAAUGCUGGCUUCCAACCCCAUGACCUUGGCCUCUGAGAGUAGCCUGAGCACCACUGAGGUGGUCAUCUGUGCUUACAGCCUGCAACCAUUGGAGAACAAAGCACUGGUGACUCUGAGGAUACACAAGGAAGAAGCAAAAAAGUGCUGGGGAACUAGUGCAAGAGCUUCCUUACAAGUGUGAGUAGGUCCUGAUUACACACACUGAUUAUCAGGCGGCC